UACGUAGGGCGCAAGCGUUGUCCGGAAUUAUUGGGCGUAAAGAGCUUGUAGGCGGUUUGUCGCGUCUGCCGUGAAAAUUCGAGGCUCAACCUCGAACUUGCGGUGGGUACGGGCAGACUAGAGUGUGGUAGGGGAGACUGGAAUUCCUGGUGUAGCGGUGAAAUGCGCAGAUAUCAGGGGGAACACCGAUGGCGAAGGCAGGUCUCUGGGCCACUACUGACGCUGAGAAGCGAAAGCAUGGGGAGCGAACAGG
rnacentral:rRNA from 1 species